GGUUAAGCGACUAAGCGUACACGGUGGAUGCCCUGGCAGUCAGAGGCGAUGAAGGGCGUGCUAAUCUGCGAUAAGCGCCGGUAAGGUGAUAUGAACCGUUAUAACCGGCGAUACCCGAAUGGGGAAACCCAGUGUGACUCGUCACACUAUCAUUAACUGAAUCCAUAGGUUAAUGAGGCGAACCGGGGGAACUGAAACAUCUAAGUACCCCGAGGAAAAGAAAUCAACCGAGAUUCCCCCAGUAGCGGCGAGCGAACGGGGAGGAGCCCAGAGCCUGAA
rnacentral:rRNA from 1 species